rnacentral:rRNA from 1 species
AAAAUUUUUAAAAAAAAAAUUAAUUAUUUUAAUGGGGGUUAAAGUAUAUUAAUAGAAAAAAUUUAAAAAUUUAUAGUGAAUUAGUAUUGUAAAAGAAAUUUGAAAUAUUAGAAAAUUAAUUAAUUUAAAAGUAAUUGUUAUUUAAUGUAUCUUGUGUAUCAGAGUUUAUUAAAAAAUAUUUUUUGUUAAAAAAUUCUCGAAUUUAAGAGAGCUAAUUAAUUAUAAAAGUUAUUGUAGUAUAAAUAUUUUAAAUAAUUAAUUGGAAAUGAAAUGUUAAUCGUUCUUAAAUAUAUCUAGUUUUUUUAGAAAAAAAUUUAAUUUUGAAUUAAUUAAUUAUUUAAUUAAUUAAUUAAUUAAAUAAUUAAUUAAUUUUAUAUUUUAAGGGAUAAGCUUUAAAUUAAAUUUAUAUAAUUAAUUGGUUUUAUUUUUAAAAUUUAUAUAAUUUAUAUUGUUAAUUAAUUAUAAUUUAUUAUAAAUAAUUUUAAAUAAAAUAAAAUUUAAUAAAAAUUUAUAUUUUAUAUAAGAAAAUAAUUUUUAAUUUUAAAAAAUUAAUUAUAAUGAUAAAAUUAGUAUAUAAUAUGUAUAUAUAUAUAUAUAUAUAUAAUUUAUAAAUAAGAAUAAUUUAAUUUAAGAUAAUUAUUUAAAAGGAAUUCGGCAAAUAUAUAUAUUCACUUGUUUAUCAAAAACAUGUCUUUUUGAAAAUAAUAUAAAGUCUAAUCUGCCCACUGAUUUAAAAUUAAAGGGCUGCAGUAUUUUGACUGUACAAAGGUAGCAUAAUCAUUAGUCAUUUAAUUGGUGACUUGUAUGAAAGAUUGGAUGAAAUAUAAGCUGUCUCUAAAAUAAAUUAUAGAAUUUAAUUUUUUAGUUAAAAAGCUAAAAUAAAUUAAAAAGACGAGAAGACCCUAUAGAGUUUUAUAUAAAUUUUUAUUAAAGAUUAUUUAUAAAUUAUUAAUUUAAAUAUGAAUUUAUAUUUUGUUGGGGUGAUAGAAAAAUAUAAAAAACUUUUUUUAAUAAUAAAACAUAAAUAAGUGGUUAUUUGAUCCAAUUUUAUUGAUUAUAAGAAAAAAUUACCUUAGGGAUAACAGCGUAAUUUUUUUUUUUAGUUCAAAUAAAAAAAAGAGUUUGCGACCUCGAUGUUGGAUUAAGAUAAAGUUUAAAUGCAGAAGUUUAAAAUUUUUGAUCUGUUCGAUCAUUAAAAUCUUACAUGAUCUGAGUUCAAACCGGUGUGAGCCAGGUUGGUUUCUAUCUUUUAAGAAAAAGAAUACUUUAGUACGAAAGGAUUAAGUAUUUAAAUUAAAUUUACUUUUUUUGAAUAUU